GCAGUUGUAGCUCAGUGGUAGAGUGUUCACCUAUCACGUGUGAGGCUCUGGGUUCAAUUUUCAGCACUGCA
rfam:Ictidomys tridecemlineatus contig002359, whole genome shotgun sequence.